AUUGAACGCUGGCGGCAGGCCUAAUACAUGCAAAGUCGAACGGUAACAGUAAGAAAGCUUGCUUCUUGAUGACGAGUGGCGGACGGGUGAGUAAUAUUUGGGAAGCUACCUGAUAGAGGGGGACAACAGUUGGAAACGACUGCUAAUACCGCAUAUAGCCUAAAGGGUGAAAGCAGCAAUGCGCUAUCAGAUGCGCCCAAACGGGAUUAGCUAGUAGGUGAGGUAAAGGCUCACCUAGGCGACGAUCUCUAGCUGGUCUGAGAGGAUGAUCAGCCACAUUGGGACUGAGACACGGCCCAGACUCCUACGGGAGGCAGCAGUAGGGAAUAUUGCACAAUGGAGGAAACUCUGAUGCAGCCAUGCCGCGUGUGUGAAGAAGGCCUUCGGGUUGUAAAGCACUUUCGGAGGGGAGGAACAAAUGACGUUACCCUCAGAAGAAGCACCGGCUAACUCCGUG
rnacentral:rRNA from 1 species